UACAGAGGUCCCAAGCGUUGUUCGGAUUCAUGGGGCGUAAAGGGUGCGUAGGUGGCGCCGUAAGUGGGGUGUGAAAUUUCGGAGCUUAACUCCGAAACUGCAUUCCAUACUGCGGUGCUUGAGGACUGGAGAGGAGACUGGAAUUUACGGUGUAGCAGUGAAAUGCGUAGAGAUCGUAAGGAAGACCAGUGGCGAAGGCGGGUCUCUGGACAGUUCCUGACACUGAGGCACGAAGGCCAGGGGAGCAAACGGG
rnacentral:rRNA from 1 species